CUUGUUCUGAGAGCAGGUAUGUGUUUGUUCUUGCUUUAUUUAUGAGAGUUUGAAGGUUACAGUGGCCAAGGGGCAUGAAAGUAUGAAACACUGUGCUUUUGGAACACCCUCCUUAACCAUAAUAGGGAUUCAAGCUGGGAAAUGGAUACACCAAAGAUGGGAAUGCACUCUGCAAAGGACAAUGCUCAGGGACAAGGUGUGGGUAUGUCCUGGCCCAUCAGUGAGCCUCCAAUGCCCUGAAGGCCCUGGGUGCACUCUCAUCACUCAGCAACAGCUAGAUUUUGGCAUGCUAUUAACACUGUCUCAGCUGAAACUAGGAUAUGAAACUUCUACAUGAUUUCUUAAACAUCAGUCUACUUUAAAAUUAGCAAGUUCUGAUAGGUUAUUUUUAGACAUUAUUCUUUCUCCUUAUAUUGUUGUAUGAAGAACUCCUUUAUACCACGCAGGCUUUCCCCCACUAGAAUCACAAAAUCAUAGAAUCAUAGAAUCACCAAGACUGGAAAAGAACUACAGGAUCAUCCAGUCCAAGCAUCCACCUAUAACCAAUAGUUCUCGCUAAAGCAUGUCCGUCAGUACAACACCUAAACGUUCCUUGAACACCUCAAGGGUUGGUGACUCCAGCACCUUACUGGGCAGCCCAUUCCAGUGCCUGACAACUCUUCUGGAAAAGCAGUAUUUCCUAACAUCCAGCCUGAAUAUCCCCUGGUGCAACUUGAGGCCAUUCCCUCUAAACAGGAAUAGACCCUGGUGACUGGACAAAGGGAAACAUCACUCCUGUUUUCAAGAAAGGGUGAAAGGAAGACCUGUGGAACUACAGGCCUUACCUCUGUGCCUGGGAAGAUCAUGGAGUAGAUCCUCAAGGAAUCUACGCUGAGGCACAUGCAAGACAGGAAGUGACCUGAGACAGUCAGCACAGCUUCAUCAAGAGCAGAUCGUGCCUGACCCAUCUGGUAACCUGCUACGAUGACAGCUUCAGAAGACAAAGUAAAGUAACUGAUGUCAUCUACCUGGAUUUCUGCAAGGCCUUUCACAUAGUCCCACACCACAUUCCUGUCUCUAAAUUGGGAAGAUAUGGAUUUGAAGGGUGGACUAUUCAGUGGAUAAAGAAUUGGUUGGGUUGCAGCUAGAGGGCUGUUGUGGCUCAGUGUUCAGAUGGAGGCUAAUCAUGAGCAGUGUUCCCCAGAGGUCUGUCUACUCAAAGUUUUCAUAGAUGAAAUAGACACUGGGAUCAAGUGUACCCUCAGCAAGUUUGCAGAUGACACUUAGUAAUGUGGAGCAAUUGGCAUAAUAGAAAAAAAAAAAGGGACUCUAUCCAGAAGGACCUGAACAGGAUUUAAAAUUGGGCCCACAUGAGCCUAAUGAGAUUCAACAAGGCCAAAUACAAGGUGCUGCAUUCGGGCUGGGGCAAUCCCAAAUAUAUUUAUGGACUCAUUGAGAAGGACUCAUUGAGAGCAGCCCUGUGAAGGCCUUGAUAGUUCUAGUGGAUUGAAAACUGAACAAAAGCCAGCAGUGUACUUUUGCAGCCCAGAAGGUCAACAGUAUCCUGGACUGCAUCAAAAGAGGGGUGGCCAGCAGGGCAAAGUAUGUGAUUGUCCCCCUCUGCUCUGCCCUCAUGAGGCCUCACCUGGAGUAAUGCAUUCAGGCCUGGGCACCCAGCACAGGAAAGAUGUAGAGCCAUUGGAAUACGUCCAGAGGAAGGCCAUGAGGGUGACAAGAGGGCUGCAGCACCUCUCUUAUGAAGAAAGAUUGUGGGAGCUGGGCUUGUUUAGCUUGGAGAAGAGAAAGCUUUCAGUACCUGAGGGGAUCUUAUAAGCAUGAGAGAUCCCAACUUUUUACAUGGUCUAACAGUGAGAUGAUAGGGGAAAUGGCUUUAAACUAGAAGAAGAGAAAUUUCUGAAUGUCUUUAAGAAACUCUUUACUCAGAGAGUGAUGAGGAUCUGGAACAGGUUACCCAGAGAAUCUGUGGAUGUCCCGUCCCUGGAGGCACUCAAGACCAGGUUGGAUGCGGCCCUCAGUAGCCUGAUCUGGUGGCAACUCUGUCAACAGCAGAGGGUUGGAACUGAGUGUUCUUUAGUAUUCCUUCCAACCUAAGAUAUUAUUUAGUCCUAUGAUUCUAUGAUGAUAUUAGUAUAUUUGCUGUAUAAGAUUUUCACCACCAGCACCAAGAAGACAGUAAAAUUUUGUCAUUGAUUUAGAAUUAUCUGGCCUAAACUAAAAUUUUCACAACAG
ensembl:lncRNA